rnacentral:rRNA from 1 species
UACGGAGGGGGCAAGCGUUGUUCGGAAUUACUGGGCGUAAAGGGCGCGUAGGCGGAUGUUUAAGUCGGGGGUGAAAGCCCAGGGCUCAACCCUGGAACUGCCUUCGAUACUGGACAUCUUGAGUACGGGAGAGGUGAGUGGAACUCCGAGUGUAGAGGUGAAAUUCGUAGAUAUUCGGAAGAACACCAGUGGCGAAGGCGGCUCACUGGACCGGUACUGACGCUGAUGCGCGAAAGCGUGGGGAGCAAACGGG